rnacentral:tRNA from 1 species
GGGGCUGUAGCUCAGUGGUAGAGCACUCUCUCAACACUCAAGAGGCCCUGGGUUCAACUCCCAGUACCA